rnacentral:lncRNA from 1 species
CGGAGUUCUCUCAAGAGAAGAUUGCUUCUCUGAAGAGACCUUCUUCCUAGGGCAAGACUUGCUUCGAGAGAGGAUAUCCACCCACCUACCCGAUCUUGACCUAUCUUUCCUGGAUGAGGAGGUGGGCGAGGAUCAGCAAUCGAUCGAGCCUGCUAUCGAGAAGCAGCUCUAGUCGGAGUCUAAUGCUGCCAAGGAAGCCCAACCUCCAUCAAAGCAAGAGGUCGUUGAGGUGCCUUUAGGAGUUCCCAUGAAUUCUUCGAAGGCUCCCUAGACUGAGGUGGUUAACGUCUCUACUUAGGCUUCGGCCU